GCAUCAGUAGUUUAGUGGCAGAAUACGAGCUUCCCAAGCUUGUGACCCGGGUUCAAUUCCCGGCUGGUGCA
rnacentral:tRNA from 1 species